rnacentral:rRNA from 1 species
GNNNGGGCGUCUGCUAGUACACGUGGACACCUACCCUAAGGAGGGGGAUAACCCCGGGAAACUGGGGAUAAUACCCCAUAGACUAGAGAAGCUGGAAUGCUCUCAAGUCCAAAGGUCCGCCGCCUUAGGAUGGGUCUGCGGUCGAUUAGGUUGUUGUUGGGGUAACGGCCCAACAAGCCCGUGAUCGAUACGGGUUGUGAGAGCAAGAGCCCGGAGAUGGAUUCUGAGACACGAAUCCAGGCCCUACGGGGCGCAGCAGGCGCGAAAACUUUACAAUGCGGGAAACCGUGAUAAGGGAACCCCGAGUGCCCGUAAAUUCGGGCUGUCCAUCAGCGUAAAUAACUGGUGAAGAAAGGGCCGGGCAAGACCGGUGCCAGCCGCCGCGGUAAUACCGGCGGCUCGAGUGGUGGCCACUAUUAUUGGGCUUAAAGCGUCCGUAGCUUGGUUGUUAAGUCUCUUGGGAAAUCUACCGGCUCAACCGGUAGGCGUUCAGGAGAUACUGGCAAUCUAGGGACCGGGAGAGGUGAGAGGUACUCCAGGGGUAGGAGUGAAAUCCUGUAAUCCUUGGGGGACCACCUGUGGCGAAGGCGUCUCACUAGAACGGCUCCGACAGUGAGGGACGAAAGCUGGGGGAGCAAACCGGAUUAGAUACCCGGGUAGUCCCAGCUGUAAACGAUGCGCGUUAGGUGUAUCGGUGACCACGAGUCACCGAGGUGCCGAAGGGAAACCGUGAAACGUGCCGCCUGGGAAGUACGGUCGCAAGGCUGAAACUUAAAGGAAUUGGCGGGGGAGCACCACAACGGGUGGAGCCUGCGGUUUAAUCGGACUCAACGCCGGGAAUCUCACCGGAUAAGACAGCUGAAUGAUAGUCGGGAUGAAGACUCUACUUGACUAGCUGAGAGGAGGUGCAUGGGCCGUCGUCAGUUCGUACUGUGAAGCAUCCUGUUUAGUCAGGCAACGAG